GGAAAGAAGACCCUGUUGAGCUUGACUCUAGUCCGACGUUGUGAAAUGACUUAUGAGGUGUAGCGUAGGCAGGAGCUUCGGCGAACAUGAAACACUGCCACUCGUAAUGUUGUUUUACUUAUCUUGUCGCGUAGCGUCCAUCCGUCCUCGCGGGCGCGUGGUUCUAGCGUUAACUGUGCCAUUGUCCCAUUAGCUACGCAAGAGACAACGUCAGGUUGGGAGUUUGGCUGGGGCGGCACAUCUGUUAAAUAAUAACACAGGUGUCCUAAGGGCAGCUCAAUGAGAACAGAAAUCUCAUGUAGAACAAAAGGGUAAAAGAUCACUUGAUUUUGAUUUUCAGUAUGAAUA
rnacentral:rRNA from 1 species